AUUGAACGCUGGCGGCAUGCCUUACACAUGCAAGUCGAACGGCAGCACGGGAGCAAUCCUGGUGGCGAGUGGCGAACGGGUGAGUAAAGUAUCGGAACGUGCCCAGUCGUGGGGGAUAACGUAGCGAAAGUUACGCUAAUACCGCAUACGAUCGAUGGAUGAAAGCGGGGGAUCGCAAGACCUCGCGCGAUUUGAGCGGCCGAUAUCAGAUUAGGUAGUUGGUGGGGUAAAGGCUCACCAAGCCGACGAUCUGUAGCUGGUCUGAGAGGACGACCAGCCACACUGGGACUGAGACACGGCCCAGACUCCUACGGGAGGCAGCAGUGGGGAAUUUUGGACAAUGGGCGAAAGCCUGAUCCAGCCAUGCCGCGUGCAGGAUGAAGGCCUUCGGGUUGUAAACUGCUUUUGUACGGAACGAAAAGGUUUGGGCUAAUAAGCUGAGCUCAUGACGGUACCGUAAGAAUAAGCACCGGCUAACUACGUGCCAGCCGCCGCGGUAA
rnacentral:rRNA from 1 species